GGAGAGAUGCCAGAGUGGUCGAAUGGACCGCACUCGAAAUGCGGCAUACGGGUAACUGUAUCCAGGGUUCGAAUCCCUGUCUCUCCG
rnacentral:tRNA from 1 species